rnacentral:lncRNA from 1 species
GCAGAGGCGGAAGUGACUCGGCGCGGCUCGGAAGCCCACGGGCUUGCGCGUUGCCUAGGGUUCACUGGGGCGAGCAGUAAGAUAUUGGCCAGGGCUUUCUCACAGCUCCUAGAGACGGACCUCAGACGUGCAUCAUGUGGACCUCUGAAAACAUGGAGCUCAUUGCUCCGAAGCCGACUGGAGAGCUUCUCCCAAUCCUGCUGCUGCUGCUGUUACAGCUGCUUACAACAGCUAUUGUUGUGGCUAGAGUCUUAUAUUCAAUGUGACACCAUAGGAGAAAUGAUUCUACUUUUGCUAUAUUACAUAAACUAAUAAAAGGAGGAACAUCCCAUUAUACUCUCAAACCCUGUGGUAUACUCAGGGAGAGGUUAUAACCUCAUCAAGGAUCUUAGGAGCCAUUUUUUAGGUCUUGGCAACCAUGGCUCUUGAAUGGGUAACUGCUGGCAGAACAUGAAAUCCUUCUUAAACUGAUUGUUGACUUUUUCUUUGACAUUCUCUUGGGAUCAGCCACUAGUUUAUUAGUGUGCUUAGAAAUUAUGAAUUUCCAAUAUGAAACAUUCAUGUUUCACAGACUUCAAAGUUACAUCUUUGAGCAUAUUUUGUCACAGUCUUCCUUACAAUUUAAAAUAAAUGCAUUGUAAAAAAUG